rnacentral:lncRNA from 1 species
GUAACCCACCGAAGGUGAUUUCUCUGGUUCCAGAAUUUGUCCCUGGCAACCCAAGAGAGAGAAUAGAAGGAAAGAAGCAGUCUGCAGCACAUUCUUGGGGAGUCGGGCUGGUUUUCCCCCCUCCGGAUCCACAACAGGAGAUAACGUGAAUGUGAGUCGAGUCUGUGACAGAAAUCUUAGGAGUACAAGUCAUUUCUGGGCCAUAUGUUGUAAUUUUAAUCUUACUUUAAAAAAGAAUCACGCUGACCCUGUUGUGUUUUUAAAUAAGGAAGCAAUACACUAAUGUGGGAAAGAAAA